rnacentral:lncRNA from 10 species
CUUCAGAUUCAGAGGGAACAAGGGGGUAGAGGGACAGCCCUUCAUAGGCAGCUACCAUUUAAGUGUUCCAUUGUCAUCCUUAGUGUCAGGAGAGCUAGGACUUUUAGGUUACAGAGGAUUUUCCAAGUAAAUAAUACUGAGUAACUCUGCCAAUUGAAGUCUACACGAUCCUGAGACUGGGUAUUUUAUAAAGGAAAGAGCAGUUCUGCAGGCUGUACAGGAAGCAUGGCUGGAAAACCUUAGGAAACUUACAAUCAUGGCAGAAGGCAAAGGGAAAGCAAGCACAUCUACCAUGGCAGAGCAGGACAGAGAGAGAGAAGAGAGCUAAGGGGGAAGUGCUACACACUUUUAAACAAACAGAUCUUGUGAGAACUACCUCACUGUCAUGAGAUCAACAGGGUGAAAUUCUGCCCCCGUGAUCCAAUCACCUCCCACUAGGUUCUUCCCCCAACACUGGAGAUUUCAAUUCAACAUGAGGUUUGAGUGGAGAUACAGAAACAAAC